GCCUGGUGUGGUGGUGCACGCCUAUAAUCCCAGCUACUAGGAGGCUAAGGCAGGAGGAUCAUGGGUUUUGAGGCCAGCCUGGGCAACUUAAGACACUGUCUCAA
rnacentral:sRNA from 1 species